GACGAACGCUGGCGGCGUGCUUAACACAUGCAAGUCGAGCGGAAAGGCCCUUCGGGGUACUCGAGCGGCGAACGGGUGAGUAACACGUGAGCAACCUGCCCUUGGCUUUGGGAUAACCCUCGGAAACGGGGGCUAAUACCGGAUAUGACAUCUGAUCGCAUGGUUGGGUGUGGAAAGUUUUUCGGCCAGGGAUGGGCUCGCGGCCUAUCAGCUUGUUGGUGGGGUGAUGGCCUACCAAGGCGACGACGGGUAGCCGGCCUGGGAGGGCGACCGGCCACACUGGGACUGAGACACGGCCCAGACUCCUACGGGAGGCAGCAGUGGGGAAUAUUGCACAAUGGGCGAAAGCCUGAUGCAGCGACGCCGCGUGAGGGAAGACGGCCUUCGGGUUGUAAACCUCUUUCAGCAGGGACGAAUCUGACGGUACCUGCAGAAGAAGCGCCGGCCAACUACGUGCCAGCAGCCGCAGUAAUAC
rnacentral:rRNA from 1 species